GGAAGAUGACGCCACGCAGCGGCUCCCACUGAGGCGACGCCUGCGGAGCACGUCAUCUCAGCUACGCGGAAGACCGCGCUGUGGAGUCGCGGCCGGGAAGGCCUUGCCCUGCCGCCGGACUUUGGGCGGCACAGACUUGCUUAGAGCGCCUCAGGGAAGGCUGGUCUGGCUACAUCAGGCCCCCCGCUGACCAACGGGUGGUUCUGGAUCUGCGCGUCCGCGCCUGAGCUUUAUCAACCUUCUUUGCAGCUUAACUUUACUGAUCCUUACUGUCAGCUUAUGGAAACAAAUUGCAAGUGCCUUCUUGAUCCACACUUAAAAUCACACUCUCAGCGGAAUGAUAUGCCGAGAACACUGAGGAGCGUUGGGUUCAUGACCAGCAAUAAUAAAUCUCACUGAAGAGUUUCAGGAGUAUUGGCAUUAAAUCUUCUCUAAAUUUCUUGGAGAAUUCCUCUAUGAAUCCAUGAAGACCUGGGCUUUGCUAUGCUAAGUUCACCACUGUCAAUUUCCUGCUGAGGACUGCUUUCAUUGCAUCUUAUAAAUACCAACAAUAGACCUAUCAAUAUCAUUGUCAAGUAAAAGCCAGAUGAAGAUUCUUUCUAGCUCUAAACAGUCCUUUCCUUUCUAGGUACUCAAAUUUGCAAAAGCAGCAAAACCUGAUAUUACUAAAGUGGAACUAUUAUAAGAUGUACAAGACAAAAUUGUUGAUUGGCAGCUCCUGAUACUGAUCAACAAGUCAGAAAAUAAAGUAGAAGUGAAGCAUGCUUCAGAUGAAAAUAAAGAAGGCUUUCA